GCACUCUUAGUCUAGUGGUUAUCAUUGUUCUAUGAGCUGGGUUUUACUAGAUCAUUCAAUGGUUUUGGGUUCAAUUCCCAGUGAACGCU